AGGAUAGUAGCUCAAGUGGUAGAGCAUCGGUCUCCAAAACCGGCGGUUGGGGGUUCGAGUCCCUCCUAUCCUGCCA
rnacentral:tRNA from 1 species